CCCAAUCAGUGCCAAUGUGUGCCAGGCUGGCGGGGCGACGACUGUUCCAGUGAGUGUGCCCCAGGAAUGUGGGGGCCACAGUGUGACAAGCCCUGCAGCUGCGGCAACAACAGCUCGUGUGAUCCCAAGAGUGGGGUAUGUUCUUGCCCUUCUGGUCUGCAGCCCCCGAACUGCUUUCAGCCCUGUACCCCUGGCUACUAUGGCCCUGCCUGCCAGUUCCGCUGCCAGUGCCAUGGGGCACCCUGCGAUCCCCAGACUGGAGCCUGCUUCUGCCCCGCAGAGAGAACUGGGCCCAGCUGUGACGUGUCCUGUUCCCAGGGCACUUCUGGCUUCUUCUGCCCCAGCACCCAUCCUUGCCAAAAUGGAGGUGUCUUCCAAACCCCACAGGGCUCCUGCAGCUGCCCCCCUGGCUGGAUGGGCACCAUCUGCUCCCUGCCCUGCCCAGAGGGCUUUCAUGGACCCAACUGCUCCCAGGAAUGUCGCUGCCACAACGGCGGCCUCUGUGACCGAUUCACUGGGCAGUGCCGCUGCGCUCCGGGUUACACUGGGGAUCGGUGAGUGGCGUGGGGCGGGCGGGAGACGGGAGGGAGGAGGUGGGGCGCCGCCAGGCUCACUCAGCUAGGUGCCCAGGUGCCGGGAGGAGUGCCCGGUGGGCCGCUUUGGGCAGGACUGUGCUGAGACGUGCGACUGCGCCCCGGACGCCCGUUGCUUCCCGGCCAACGGCGCAUGUCUGUGCGAACACGGCUUCACUGGGGACCGCUGCACGGAUCGCCUCUGCCCCGACGGCUUCUACGGUCUCAGCUGCCAGGCCCCCUGCACCUGCGACCGGGAGCACAGCCUCAGCUGCCACCCGAUGAACGGGGAGUGCUCCUGCCUGCCGGGCUGGGCGGGCCUCCACUGCAACGAGAGCUGCCCGCAGGACACGCACGGGCCAGGGUGCCAGGAGCACUGUCUCUGCCUGCACGGUGGCGUCUGCCAGGCUACCAGCGGCCUCUGUCAGUGCGCGCCGGGUUACACGGGCCCUCACUGUGCUAGUCUUUGUCCUCCCGACACCUACGGUGUCAACUGUUCUGCACGCUGCUCAUGUGAAAAUGCCAUCGCCUGCUCACCCAUCGACGGCGAGUGCGUCUGCAAGGAAGGUUGGCAGCGUGGUAACUGCUCUGUGCCCUGCCCACCCGGAACCUGGGGCUUCGGUUGCAAUGCCAGCUGCCAGUGUGCCCAUGAGGCAGUCUGCAGCCCCCAAACUGGAGCCUGUACCUGCACCCCUGGGUGGCAUGGGGCCCACUGCCAGCUGCCCUGUCCGAAGGGGCAGUUUGGAGAAGGUUGUGCCAGUCGCUGUGACUGUGACCACUCUGAUGGCUGUGACCCUGUUCAUGGACGCUGUCAGUGCCAGGCUGGCUGGAUGGGUGCCCGCUGCCACCUGUCCUGCCCUGAGGGCUUAUGGGGAGUCAACUGUAGCAACACCUGCACCUGCAAGAAUGGGGGCACCUGUCUCCCUGAGAGUGGCAACUGCGUGUGUGCACCCGGAUUCCGAGGCCCCUCCUGCCAGAGAUCCUGUCAGCCUGGCCGCUAUGGCAAACGCUGUGUGCCCUGCAAGUGCGCUAACCACUCCUUCUGCCACCCCUCGAACGGGACCUGCUACUGCCUGGCUGGCUGGACAGGCCCCGACUGCUCCCAGCCAUGCCCUCCAGGACACUGGGGAGAAAACUGUGCCCAGACCUGCCAAUGUCACCAUGGUGGGACCUGCCAUCCCCAGGAUGGGAGCUGUAUCUGCCCCCUAGGCUGGACUGGACACCACUGCUUAGAAGGCUGCCCUCUGGGGACAUUUGGUGCUAACUGCUCCCAGCCAUGCCAGUGUGGUCCUGGAGAAAAGUGCCACCCAGAGACUGGGGCCUGUGUAUGUCCCCCAGGGCACAGUGGUGCACCUUGCAGGAUUGGAAUCCAGGAGCCCUUUACUGUGAUGCCGACCACUCCAGUAGCGUAUAACUCGCUGGGUGCAGUGAUUGGCAUUGCAGUGCUGGGGUCCCUUGUGGUAGCCCUGGUGGCACUGUUCAUUGGCUAUCGGCACUGGCAAAAAGGCAAGGAGCACCACCACCUGGCUGUGGCUUACAGCAGCGGGCGCCUGGACGGCUCCGAGUAUGUCAUGCCAGAUGUCCCUCCGAGCUACAGUCACUACUACUCCAACCCCAGCUACCACACCCUGUCGCAGUGCUCCCCAAACCCCCCACCCCCUAACAAGGUUCCAGGCCCGCUCUUUGCCAGCCUGCAGACCCCUGAGCGGCCAGGUGGGGCCCAAGGGCAUGAUAACCACACCACCCUGCCUGCUGACUGGAAGCACCGCCGGGAGCCCCCUCCAGGGCCUCUGGACAGGGGGAACAGCCGCCUGGACCGAAGCUACAGCUAUAGCUACAGCAAUGGCCCAGGCCCAUUCUACAAUAAAGGGCUCAUCUCUGAAGAGGAGCUCGGGGCCAGUGUGGCUUCCCUGAGCAGUGAGAACCCAUAUGCCACCAUCCGGGACCUGCCCAGCUUGCCAGGGGGCCCCCGGGAGAGCAGCUACAUGGAGAUGAAAGGCCCUUCCUCAGGAUCUCCCCCCAGGCAGCCUCCUCAGUUCUGGGACAGCCAGAGGCAGCGGCAACCCCAGCCACAGAGAGACAGUGGCACCUACGAGCAGCCCAGCCCCCUGAUCCAUGACCGAGACUCUGUGGGCUCCCAGCCCCCUCUGCCUCCGGGCCUACCCCCCGGCCACUAUGACUCACCCAAGAACAGCCACAUCCCUGGACAUUAUGACUUGCCUCCAGUACGGCAUCCCCCAUCACCUCCACUUCGACGCCAGGACCGUUGAGGAGCCAGGAUGGUGUGGCAGAGGCCAGCACACCUGGCUGUUGCUGCUCAAGGCUGGGGACAGAGCCUAGUGUACCCCUGCCAGGAGCAGGGAGUGGACCGGCAGGCCGUGAACAUGAACAACACUUAACAGAGCAAGUGAUGGGAGCCUCGUUCCUGGGUUCUACCAUGGGAGAGGCUGAUCAGCAGGAUGCCUGGCUCCCUUUCCCAACCCACUGCUCCCAAGGCCUCCAGGGCCCUGUGUACAUAAACUGGUGGGUUGGAAGUUGCUGGGUAACUCUGAUUUCAGACAUGCGUGUGGGGUACCUUUUCUGUGCACGCUCGGCCUGGGCUCUGUGCGUGUGUGUGUUUCUGUGAUUUUAGAAGGGUACCAGGCACAGGUUCUGUCCUAGGGCACUUACCAUUUAGUAGGGAGAUGGACCCAACCCAAUUAACUCUAGCAAUAGCCUCCUAACUGGCCUCCUCCAUUGAUUCAGUGAACCUUCCAAUGCAUGGCUCAUAAUUUCAAAAUACAGGCUGGUUAGUUACUCCCUACCUGAAAGCCUUCAUAGGUGCCUCUUUGCUCUUCUGCCAGUAUCAAAACUUUUGAAGGCCUUAAAGGCCCUGCUUUGCCUGGCCCAUCUGUCUCUCCAGCCUCACCUUGAACUGUGUUCCUGUCACUGCACGCCAGUCACACCGGCCUCUAGGUCCUCCUGUAGGCCACUCUUCUUUCUGGCACAGGGACCUGCACACCUGGAGUGCCCUUCCUCCCCCACUUGCCUGUUCACCCCUGCUUUUCCUUUACACCUCCUCCUCAGGGAAGCGCCCACCCUCCGUACGUCUUUCACAGCCCUGAUUGCAGCUGUGUUCACUCACCAGGUACCUGCAGAAGGCCUACAGGGUGCCAGGCACUUCUUUAAUGUGUUCUUUCUUUAUGUGAUUAUUUGAUUAAUCUCUGCCUCCCCCACUAGACUGUAAGCUCCCUGAAGGCAAGAAUCCUGUGCUUAUGCUCAAUAUUAGCUCUCCCUUGGCACAGAGUAGGCACUCAACAAAUGCUCCCCAAAAGGCUGAGUGGCUGACUGAAUUAAGUACCAGUGACAUGCAGUAACUGCUAAGAUAGAUGAGCCAUCUGUAUGCUCUGACAGUUACAGACUGAAUAAGUUGGAGACUUCCCUAAAGGGUGGCAUUUCCCCAGGGUAACAACGCAGAGCUCAGGUGUGGGAAGGUGCCAGGGGCAGGGGUGCAGAGGGGCUGAGGCUGAGGGGGGUGCAGAGGCUGGAGACAGGAUAACAGGAGAGAUUAUACAGGCAUGCCUUGAUUUAUUGCACUUCACAGGUAGCAGAAUUUUUAAAGAAAUUGAAGGUUUUGGGACAUAUAUGUGACAGCAAUAGGUUAAGAAAAGCAAAGCAGAGAAAUUGAAGAUGUGUGUCAACACUGCUUUAAGCAAAUCUGUUGGCACCAUUUUUCCAAUAGCAUGUGCUCAUUUUGGGUCUCUACAUCGCAUUUUGGUAAUUGCUUGCAAUAUUUCAAGCAUUUUCAUUGUUAUUAUAUGUGUUAUAGUGAUCUGUGAUCAGUGAUCUUUGAUAUAUUAUUGUAAUUGUUUCGGGGCGCCAUGAACCGCACCCAUAUAACACGGUAAACUUAAUCAGC
rnacentral:sRNA from 1 species